rnacentral:rRNA from 1 species
CAGCACCUCAAGUGGUCAGGAUGAUUAUUGGGCCUAAAGCAUCCGUAGCCGGCUUUGUUAGUUUUCGGUUAAAUCCAUGUGCUCAACGCAUGGGCUGCCGAAAAUACUGCAUGGCUAGGGAGUGGGAGAGGUAGACGGUACUCAGUAGGAAGGGGUAAAAUCCUUUACUCUAUUAUGACCACCUGUGGCGAAGGCGGUCUACCAGAACACGUUCGACGGUCAGGGAUGAAAGCUGGGGGAGCAAACCGGAUUAGA